rnacentral:rRNA from 1 species
AUUGAACGCUGGCGGCAUGCCUAACACAUGCAAGUCGAGCGGAGCGGCGGACGGGUGAGUAAUGCCUAGGAAUCUGCCUGGUAGUUGGGGAUAACGUCCGGAAACGGUCGCUAAUACCGCAUACUAUCAGAUGAGCCUAGGUCGGAGUAGCUAGUUGGUGGGGUAAAGGCCUACCAAGGCGACGAUCCGUAACUGGUCUGAGAGGAUGAUCAGUCACACUGGAACUGAGACACGGUCCAGACUACUAAGGGAGGUAGCAGUGGGGAAUAUUGGACAAUGGGCGAAAGCAUGAUCCAGCCAUGCAGAGUGUGUGAAGAAGGUCUUCGGAUUGUAAAGCACGUUAAGUUGGGAGGCGUUACCAACAGAAGAAGCACCGGCUAACUUCGUGCCAGCAGCCGCGGUAAUAC